rnacentral:lncRNA from 1 species
CACCUUCUAAUAGUUGUAUCCUCCAAACUUAACCUGUGCGCUUUUUUAAAUAAGCGAUAAUCAUAGAUGAUAGCCAAAUCUCGUAUGAGAUCCCUUGCAACGACUUUUACCGGUCGAGAGAGCCCCUCCUUGUGUCGUAGAUUCCUCUCCCUCCAAAGGUGUCAUAUAAACGUUGCAAGUGCAUUCCAAUGUAGCCCCCAGCAUAGUGUUGACUUACUGAAUUUGGAUAUCCCCUCCAUGAUAUCACCCACCCUUAUAUCUCCUAGCUUUAUUUCUGUGAUACCCAUAAG